CCAGACUCCUACGGGAGGCAGCAGUGAGGAAUAUUGGUCAAUGGCCGCAGGGCUGAACCAGCCAAGUCGCGUGAGGGAUGACGGUCCUAUGGAUUGUAAACCUCUUUUGUCAGGGAGCAAAGGGCGCCACGUGUGGCGUUUUGCGAGUACCUGAAGAAAAAGCAUCGGCUAACUCCGUGCCAGCAGCCGCGGUAAUACGGAGGAUGCGAGCGUUAUCCGGAUUUAUUGGGUUUAAAGGGUGCGCAGGCGGAAUGUCAAGUCAGCGGUAAAAAUUCGGGGCUCAACCCCGUCGUGCCGUUGAAACUGAUGUUCUUGAGUGGGCGGGAAGUAUGCGGAAUGCGUGGUGUAGCGGUGAAAUGCAUAGAUAUCACGCAGAACUCCGAUUGCGAAGGCAGCAUACCGGCGCUCAACUGACGCUCAUGCACGAAAGCGUGGGUAUCGAACAGGAUUAGAUACCCCAGUAA
rnacentral:rRNA from 1 species